rnacentral:rRNA from 1 species
AUUGAACGCUGGCGGCAGGCCUAACACAUGCCAGUCGAGCGGAUGAAGGGAGCUUGCUCCUGGAUUCAGCGGCGGACGGGUGAGUAAUGCCUAGGAAUCUGCCUGGUAGUGGGGGAUAACGUCCGGAAACGGGCGCUAAUACCGCAUACGUCCCGAGGGAGAAAGUGGGGGAUCUUCGGACCUCACGCUAUCAGGUGAGCCUAGGUCGGAUUAGCUAGUUGGUGGGGUAAAGGCCUACCAAGGCGACGAUCCGUAACUGGUCUGAGAGGAUGAUCAGUCACACUGGAACUGAGACACGGUCCAGACUCCUACGGGAGGCAGCAGUGGGGAAUAUUGGACAAUGGGCGAAAGCCUGAUCCAGCCAUGCCGCGUGUGUGAAGAAGGUCUUCGGAUUGUAAAGCACUUUAAGUUGGGAGGAAGGGCAGUAAGUUAAUACCUUGCUGUUUUGACGUUACCAACAGAAUAAGCACCGGCUAACUUCGUG